rnacentral:ncRNA from 1 species
CACGCAGGUUUGGUCCUAACCUCAUAAUCAAUUCUUUCUUGACUUAUACAUGCAAGUCUCCGCACACCCGUGAGAACGCCCUUCUCCCCCAAAAAGAGGAGAAGGAGCUGAUAUCAGGCACCUUAAUUAGCCCAAGACAUCUAGCCAUGCCACACCCACAAGGGUCCUCAGCAGUGAUUAACCUUAAAUAUUAACGCAAGUUUGAUUUAGUCAAUGAAAAUAGAGCCGGCCAAUCUGGUGCCAGCCGCCGCGGCUAUACCACGUGGCUCAAAUUGACUCUACCCGGCGUAAAGCGUGAUUAAAGUUCUCCCUUUUCCCCCAAAAAAAUUAGGGUUGAACUUAAGCAAUUAAAUGUGCAAAUAUAACUCAAAGGAAACCCAUUAUCCGAAAGAUACCCUAACUAACCAACUUGAACUCACGACAGCUAGGACACAAACUGGGAUUAGAUACCCCACUAUGCCUAACCGUAAACCUUUUACUUACACUACAACCGCCAGGAAACUACGAGCCAAGCUUAAAACCCAAAGGACUUGACGGUGCCCCAUAUCCCCCUAGAGGAGCCUGUCCUAUAAUCGACGAUCCCCGUUUAACCUCACCAUUUUUAGUUUUUUCAGCCUGUAUACUUCCGUCGCCAGCUUACCACGUGAGUGAAAGUAAGCUUAAUGUCAUACAUGGACAAUACGUCAGGUCAAAGUGCAGCUUAUAAAAUGGGAAGAGAUGGGCUACACUUUCUAAUAUAGAAAAAAACGAAAAAUUAAUUGAAAUAUUAUUAGAAGGUGGAUUUAGUAGUAAAAGCGGAAUAGAAUACCCCUUUUAACCUGCACUGGAGCGUGUACACACCGCCCGUCACCCUCUUCAAAUAAUUACUAAUAAGUACAUAACACAACUACUAACUUUAGAAGAGGCAAGUCGUAACAUGGUAAGUACACCGGAAGGUGCACUUGGAAU